rnacentral:tRNA from 1 species
CCCAUACCCCGAAAAUGUCCUACGACCUUUACUA